GUUUUAAUGACCUAAAUAUAUCUUUAUUAUUAUGUUAAAAUUAAACAAAUCCGUAAUAAGAUGUGUUACAGUAAAUAGGUCAUGAAAUAUUUAUGGUAAAUUACCAUUUUUUCUAAUAACAGAAAUUUUAUCAUAUAUUUUAACUGCAUAUUUUUAACAUUAAGCUAUUUGGCAACGUCGCUAAAGCUUUACCCCCCCCACCCGGCAAUAUGACUUGGAACCUAGCAACCAGUGAGGUCAACAAACGAGGUCAAAUUGCAAUUUACCUGUGCAAGAAAAAUCAGUAAAUAACAUUAAUUGGAUGAAGUAUCAAAUUGGUUUUCAUUUCACUUAAAUCAAGUUAAUUAAACGGAAUAAAAAUAUCCUAAUAACGGGUAGUACCACUUUUAAGAUUUAAUUUAGUUUAAAUAAUGUAAAUUUGGCAAAUAUUCCAGAUAAAAAGUAUAAUUUUGAAAGGAAUGAUAAAUUGUUUUAACAAUGAAUAUUGUUAUCAAUCAUAAUUAUCACAUUCUUUUAUUUUAUUAUAAUACAAUUGAUGAUGUAUUGUACAGCAUGAAUUGCAUUAGUCAAAAAUAAAAGAAAAGAAUAGAAUUCUGUGUAACGUGGCAGAACUAAAGAAAUGGAUGGAGGCAUCCCCUGUGUUGCCAAGUAUACCAUUAUAUCCACUUCUUUCUCUUGUAAAUAUUCUUGAUAGGGGUAAAGCUGACAUGUGUAGUCAGUAAUAACAGUAACAAAAAUGAAUAGCAAUUUCGUAGAAAGAUUUGAGUAAUAUCACAAAUUUCAUCCAACUUUAAAAAUACAAAUUAUCUUAUUGAUAACACCUAGAUCAGGUUUGUAAGAUGCUACAAGUUAACUGAAGCUUUUACCGAUGUCUCUUUUUCUGCUCCUACUACACAUACAAUGAGUAUAACUUGAAUAAGCCUCGUUAAAAGAGGAUCGAGCUUAGAAAGUUGUGCGCAACUCGCAGUGAAACUAGAUUUGUGGGAGGUAGUAAUGGAGAGGGAGGAGUAGUCAGAGAUGUUGGGUCAACGAACGUAUCCAAGUAUCCCCUUUCUCCUUGCAUCAAGUUAAGCCGCUACUAUAUCGUGGUGAACUCGUCUUCUCCAUAAAAGCGGUUACCUUUCUGCGCAUACUAGUACGACUACAGCGCAUACUAGUAGAAAUAUCUAACCAAAGGACAGAGAUUUCAUGGUAGGGAUGAAAUCAAUAGUUAAGUAUUUCCUGAAAUGGGAAUAUUAAUCUACAUUUAACUAUUUCAUUGCUUGCUUCAAUUUUAUUCGCCGCGAAUAAAGUGGUAAAAAUAUACUCCAAAUAAAUAUUGAAAAAAAUCAACAAUUGGCUCAUUAAAUUACUUAACUAUUUCAAGGUCACAAUACUCAACAUUGACGUUAACAAGCUGGAAAUGAUAAAAAAAAGUAUUACUAUGUUAUUGAAUUUUGGGUUAACAUAGGCUAAUAAAACAAUAUGAAGUUUCGCAAGCUAAAUAUAGGAUUUCAAAGUUGAAUUGGUAUACGUUUUGAUAUUUGAUUUUCAAUGGAAAAGCUAUACCCGGAAAACUUCUUAUCGACGCUUCUUCCCCUGAAUGAAGUAUGAGGAUAAAACACAACACAAGAGGUUAAAACCUGAAAAGAUACAUUAUAUUUCAAUUCCGUGUUAUAUAUGUAGCUACAACAAGAAUAAAAUGGUUUUAAAACAAAAGUCUCGAACAAUGACUAUAAAAUCUAUUUUCUAAAUUUAUGUAUAAUUUCAAUGUAUGAAGUUGAAAUGUUACAUGUGUAUAACACUACCAUGAUGUUGACGAUAUCGGUACGUUAACUAUAAAUAAUUAUGGCUGCAGAGCUUUUAGAUGCAAUGGUUGACAGGUGGCAAUUGGAUAGUUAACGUUGACGAUUUUGUUGGAGAAUUACAAGGACUGAGGGAAACCGUAGAACAUUGGAGGGGUGGUAAAGAGAAUGAAGGAAAAUUGGGAGGGAUAGAAGUUAGAACAAGGAUAACAGGAAAAAAAAAAGAAAAUAAGAGAAUUAGUUGGUGGAAAUGGGUGAGAAAGAGAUGUUCGUUCACAAGGGAACAGAAGGAAAAGGAAAAGAAAAAGGGGUAAAGAAGAGAAAGAGAGAAAGGGGGGGAGAGAGAGACAGAGCAGAGUUGUACGGUGAUGUUCGAGCUGCGCCUGCGCCGACAAUACUUGCUAUGAGCGGAUUGGCUCCCUACUCAUACUUGAGUGCACGUUAGGUUGACUUAAUUUCAAUUUGGCCUCCUUCUCUACUUCCUCCCUCUCCAACAAAUCCGGCAUACGUAUGUAUAUCCCUGUCGAUUACUUUUGUUUUAUUGGGUUCUGCCUGAAGGGCGUUUGCUGUGUAUAUUUCUUGUAUAACUAAAAACCAUGCGCCAAGAGUGAACCCUUCGAUCUUUGAUAAAGGAAAUGCAACGUUGGAAGUAAAAUAGUUCGAAAGAAA